AAAAUAAAUUAUUUUUCUUUAUAUAUAGAAGAAGUACGAAGGAAACAGCGCGAUAAACGAUCCCCGCUUAAGUGCCUUUCCCGCUUAUGUGACCAUAUUUUGCGGCACGAUGUUUUUCCCUAAAUUUACAUAUAAAACUGCCCGCUGAAGAGCCUCCGCCUAAGUGCCUUUCCCGCUUAAUUGACUGUAAUACUUAGGCCACAAAUACAAAAUUGUUUGCAAUAUUAACGAGGAACGAACCCCAAAUAUGAAAUUCAGAACAUUUCAAUGGCAACCAACCGUGUGGUACAACCUUUAAUGAUAGAAAUCAUUUUCUACCCACAGGCAAUGGAAAACCUGUCGACACUUCACAGAAGAUCAAUGCUAUAUGUUGCAAACAAUGUCAAUACAUAUGGGACAUUCUCUGGAAAAAAUCCACUUGGAAAAAAGUUCUUUAUUUUCUUUGGCAAUUAUAUAUCUUAUAGUACAUGUAAAACCUAAAAUAAAACAUGUGGUUUUAGGUCUGUGUAACGCGGGGUUGCCAGGUUUUCAUUUAAAAUUAUUACUUACUUGAAUCUAGUCUACGUAAUAAUUUAAAAAAAAAAAAGCAAAAAUCAAAAUAACAAACAAAAAGGGAUUAAAUGUCUACUACGUCCACGUCGUUAAUCCUGGGUUACGCUAAAUUCUGAUAAUAAUAGUGCGUAAAUCAAUGAUUUUUCAUCAUGUUCUGAGUUGGUUUUUAUUUGUAGCUCAUACAAAUAUUGCUGUCCCAAAAUUCCCUUUGGGGGGUAUAAAGGUGAUGAAAUAAGGAACAUUUUAAGAUAUUUUCGAAAAAAAUCAAAGGGGGCAUAAGUUGUUAAAAAUUCCAAAAAAAAUUUUUUUUCAUUUUUUGCUAUGAAAUAUUAAUUUUAAAAAUUUUUACGAUAUACAGUUUCAAAGUUUGAGAAAUUCUGUACCAAAAAGUCACAUGGUGUUUUAAAAUAUGUUCAUUAGUUUUAAAGUUAUAGCGGUUCGAAAAUUUUUUUACAAAAAACUUUGGCCCCUUAUAAUAUGGCAACCCCGCGUUACACAGACCUAAAACCAUACGUUUUAUUUUAGGAUUUACAUGUACUAUAAGAUAUAUAACUGCCAAAGAAAAUAAAGAACUUUUUUUCAAGUGGCUUUUUUUCCAGAGAAUGCCCCAUAUAUUUAAAUUUUGAAUAAAAUAAGAUUUUAUGUAUUUAAAAUAAAAUUAUCAAGUAAGAAUGCAUAUUUGUAACGUUUAAUUAGAACAUAAAUUGUAUAGUUUACUUUAGGAAAAUAUUAAAAUGAAUUGUAAAUUUUAAAUUUUAAUAAUAAGUUUAAAAUGCCUAUGUUUUUAUGCAAUAUAUGAAUGUUUUAGACUGUAAGUUGUCAAAACUUGACCAAUAGGGGGCAAAUGUACUUGUUACUAAUAUUGUUACUUCUUUCCGACUCUUCGAACAAAAGUAACAUACAAAUUAAUUUUUGCUAAUUUUUAGAGUAAUAUAGCGGUAAUAUGUUAGCUGAAAAUUACCCGUUUUGCCGGGUUGGUUUCUAAAACAAAAUCGUGAAAUGUAAAAUGAGUUAAUAACAUAUAAAUAUUUAAUAUUACCCCAAAUUAUUUCCAAAAAAAAUUGUUUACGCUGAAACUCUACCCUGAGUUCGAUCACUGGAUUGCCAAAUAAAAGUCACACUUUAAUGUCUAUACACUAAUCUUUAUUUCUAAUUCAAAUAACUUAACACUUUAUUACACGUUAUACGAGUUUACAACUUCUUACUUCUAGUUUCUUGCA